rnacentral:rRNA from 1 species
UACGUAGGGGGCUAGCGUUGUCCGGAAUCAUUGGGCGUAAAGCGCGUGUAGGCGGUCCGGUAAGUCCGCUGUGAAAGUCGGGGGCUCAACCCUCGAAUGCCGGUGGAUACUGUCGGGCUAGAGUGCGGAAGAGGCGAGUGGAAUUCCUGGUGUAGCGGUGAAAUGCGCAGAUAUCAGGAGGAACACCAAUUGCGAAGGCAGCUCGCUGGGACGUAACUGACACUGAGGCGCGAAAGCGUGGGGAGCGAACAGG